rnacentral:tRNA from 1 species
GCCCGGAUAGCUCAGUCGGUAGAGCAGGGGAUUGAAAAUCCCCGUGUCCUUGGUUCGAUUCC